CCUACGGGAGGCAGCAGUGGGGAAUAUUGGACAAUGGGGGGAACCCUGAUCCAGCCAUGCCGCGUGUGUGAAGAAGGCCCUCGGGUUGUAAAGCACUUUCAGUGAGGAAGAACGCCUGGUGGUUAAUACCCAUCAGGAAAGACAUCACUCACAGAAGAAGCACCGGCUAACUCCGUGCCAGCAGCCGCGGUAAUACGGAGGGUGCGAGCGUUAAUCGGAAUUACUGGGCGUAAAGCGCGCGUAGGUGGCUUGAUAAGCCGGUUGUGAAAGCCCCGGGCUCAACCUGGGAACGGCAUCCGGAACUGUCAAGCUAGAGUGCAGGAGAGGAAGGUAGAAUUCCCGGUGUAGCGGUGAAAUGCGUAGAGAUCGGGAGGAAUACCAGUGGCGAAGGCGGCCUUCUGGACUGACACUGACACUGAUGUGCGAAAGCGUGGGUAGCAAACAGGAUUAGAUACCCCAGUAGUC
rnacentral:rRNA from 1 species